UACGUAGGGUGCAAGCGUUAAUCGGAAUUACUGGGCGUAAAGCGUGCGCAGGCGGUUGGGCAAGACAGGGGUGAAAUCCCCGGGCUUAACCUGGGAACUGCACUUGUGACUGCACAGCUGGAGUACGGCAGAGGGGGAUGGAAUUCCGCGUGUAGCAGUGAAAUGCGUAGAUAUGCGGAGGAACACCGAUGGCGAAGGCAGUCCCCUGGGCCUGUACUGACGCUCAUGCACGAAAGCGUGGGGAGCAAACAGG
rnacentral:rRNA from 1 species